AAGAUAGGCUGCAUGGUCAGAUAGCGUGGUCGCUUGGCACAGCAACAUGAAUCGGGUAUCUCUGAGUUCCCCUCACAGUAGUGGGUCAGAAUUUGUUCAGGCAAGGCAGCAAUCAAUGCAGGUGAGACAGUACAAGAUGAAUUUGUGUUUGAAAGCACCAGAGCUGUUAGCAAGCACGUCUGGCCAUUUUAGCUGCCAGGCCCCAGUAAAAUGAAAGCCAACCCACAGAUGACCCAUGUGGUUCCAAGCAGUGAGUGAAACUGUUAUUCGAGGAUAAACUACUUAUCUCAUGAGCCCAUCCUAGGUAG